rnacentral:lncRNA from 1 species
AAGAUGACACAAACAAAUGGAAAUACAUCCCAUGCUUAUGAAAUGGAAGAAUUAAUAUUGCUAAAAUGUCCACACUGCCGAUAGCAAUCUACAGAUUCAAUGCAAUCCCUGCAAAGAUUUAAUAUUGAUGGAUGAAAGUUCUGAAUGCAUCCCUGCAGAACACUCAAAGAAGCUUGCUGUGCUUUCUACACAGAGUAUAAAUUCCCCAAGGUCAAGGACUGUAUCUU